GUCUCAGUUCGGAUUGGAGUCUGCAACCCGACUCCAUGAAGCUGGAUUCGCUAGUAAUCGCGCAUCAGCCACGGCGCGGUGAAUACGUUCCCGGGCCUUGUACACACCGCCCGUCAGGCCAUGGAAGCCGGGAGUGCCUGAAGUGCGUGAGCGCAAGCAGCGCCCUAAGGUAAAACCGGUGACUGGGGCUAAGUCGUAACAAGGUACC
rnacentral:rRNA from 1 species